GGCCUUCCAUGGCCUCAAGAAUUCAGAUACUCGGUCAUUCGGCCUUGCAGGUAUUCGAUCACUCGGUCAUUCAACCUCAAGUAUUCAAUCAUUCAGCCUCUAAAGCACUCGGCAAUUCGACCUCCCAAGUAUUCAACCAUUCAGCCUAAGGUACUAGACCAUUCGGCCUCGCAUGUAUUAAAGCAUUCGACGACCUCAUGUAUUAAACUACUGUUUGACCUUCCAUGGCCUCAAGUAUUCAACUACUCGACCUUCGACGACCUCAUGUAUUAAAGCAUUCGGUC
rnacentral:lncRNA from 1 species